UCUCUCUCACUCUCUCAUUCUCUUUCUCUCUCUCUCUCUCUCUCUCUCUCUCUCUCUCUCUCUCUCUCUCUCUCUAAGAUCCUUUGCCGUUCGUCGUUCGUUUCUAAAAACGGAGGGUACUGCGUGGAUCAGAAGAGGAAACUCUACACUUUUAGUGGAUCGGAUCGUCAUUUCGGAGAGUUUCGGGUUUUCCCAAGAAUCGAGGUUUUCGGGAUCUCGGGUUGUCGAUUUGGACCAUUUUCAUACGAACUUUCAUUUCGAGUAUAAGGUAAGGGGAAUUUGAUUACAACAGCUAUUUUGGAAAACUAAACCGCAAAAAAGGUAGUUUAUGUUAUUAUCUAUGAUUUAACUCCUUAUUUGUGAAAUUCUACCACGUAGAGAUGUCGGUUUGACGAUUUUACGAUUUUUGGUAAAAACGAGGUUUUUGACAUGUAAUCUCCAAAAUUUUACAAACAUCGUUUAUUUGUAUUUAUACUAUAGUAGGAGAGGCUCGAAUCCUUUAUUUAUUCAGUUAAACUAUGUAUAUUGAAUUUCUAUCAUUUAGCGGGUUUUUGUAUUAAACUUGUGUAAUAUAUGUUGAUAUGGGAAUGAAUGGAUUUUCUAUACUAUUGAUAUAAAAUAUGAGAAU